CCUACGGGAUGCACCAGUGGGGAAUAUUGCACAAUGGGCGCAAGCCUGAUGCAGCCAUGCCGCGUGUAUGAAGAAGGCCUUCGGGUUGUAAAGUACUUUCAGCGAGGAGGAAGGCAUUAAGGUUAAUAACCACAGCAAUUGACGUUACCCGCAGAAGAAGCACCGGCUAACUCCGUGCCAGUAGCCGCGGUAAUACGGAGGGUGCAAGCGUUAAUCGGAAUUACUGGGCGUAAAGCGCACGCAGGCGGUCUGUCAAGUCGGAUGUGAAAUCCCCGGGCUCAACCUGGGAACUGCAUUCGAAACUGGCAGGCUAGAGUCUUGUAGAGGGGGGUAGAAUUCCAGGUGUAGCGGUGAAAUGCGUAGAGAUCUGGAGGAAUACCGGUGGCGAAGGCGGCCCCCUGGACAAAGACUGACGCUCAGGUGCGAAAGCGUGGGGAGCAAACAGGAUUAGAUACCCCGGUAGUC
rnacentral:rRNA from 1 species